CUCUACCACUUGAGCCGCUCCACCAGCCCUCAGUUUUUUUUCUUUAUGAAUCAUAGUUUUGGUGUUCACUAAAAAUAUCAUCUCCAAAUCCUCAAUGUCACCUAGGUUUUCUCCUAUGCUGUGUCCUAGAAUGAGUUUAUAGUUUUGCAUUUUACAUUUAAGUCUAUGACCUAUGUUGAGUUAAUUUUUGUGACUAGUAUGUGUCUAGUUCAGUGUUUUGUUCUGGUUUUUGCCUGUGGAUGUCCAGUGCCACUUGUUUAAAAACAUUAUCCUCCCUCCAUGAAUUGUAAUUGCUCCUUUGUAAAAAGAUCACUUAGCUGUAUUUGUACACGUAUAUUCCUGGGCUCUCCACACAGAUCCAUUGAUUGGUUUGUUCAUUAUUUCUUAAAUACCACAGUCUCUUGAUUACUGUAACUGUGGAGUAAGUGUUGGAGAGGAUUGGGUCAGUCCUCUCAUCCUGAUCAUCUCAGGCUCUCUCAUGUGACUUUUGUCUUUCUCUUCCUCCAAAUCAUGUGCUCCUGCAGCAUCCAGAGAGAUACUAAUUGAGCCGUUCACUGUGAUCCCGCCUUGAAGAGGGAAAUGGCAGCUGUCCUCAGGCUCUUCCAUGUUCACACAGUCACAUAGUAUGUCAGCCUGUUGGAAUGGGUUUUAUGGUGUCCGCUCUUGACACUGAUUAAGUACCUCUGAAUGGAGAUGCUAAAAGACAAAUUCACCAUGAAUCUCAUACCGAGGACCCAGCCUGUGCACUGAUCAGUGGCAGCCCUGGGGCUUGCACGAUCUGCUUUGUUCCCACUCUCAGCAUCAUUAUGUGUGGUGUGUUGCCCAGUGCCAGCUAAAGCAAAAUACUUCCUUAAGUUUGACAUCAAAAUUGCAUGGUUAUGAAGAAUGCUAACAUUUUUCUACCAAUUCUUUUCUUGUCUUUGUGUGUGUGUGUGUGUGUGUGUGUGUGUGUGUGGUACAGAGAGGACUGAAACCAGCAUUUUGUGAGUAAAAUACCCCUACCUUUAUGUUAUUUUUAAAAUUUUUCCUAGGCUGGGCUCAAACUUGUAGUCCUCCAACCUCAGCCUCUUGAGUCUCCGGGAUUAUAGGUAUGUGCCACUAUGCCCAACACAUGACAUUUUAAAAGAUCCUAAACAACAAUGCUACUUACUCAAGUUAAUUCAUAGCUGCAAUUUGAUAGCAGCUAUGGGGAAAAAAGGUUUUGACAGCUAUUUCAGUUAGCCAUUGUGCAUAAUAAACCAUGUCGAAAUUUUUGUGGCUUAAGUCAGUAAUUUUUUUAAAGUCAGGGCCUUGCUAUGUAGCGAAGAUUGGCCUUGAACUCCUACUUCUGCCUCUCAGGUGCCGGGAUUGUAAGCAUACACCACCGUGACUACCUAGUAUGUUACUUUUCCUGCUUCUGUGGGUUGACUUAGUUCAGCUGGGUGGUUCUCUUUCUCCUUAUGGCGUUGCUGAAGUCACUCACUUUGCUCUACUGUGUACAGGACUAGGCUGGACAACCUCAAUGGCUUCAUUCACAAGUCUCACAUCUUCAUGCUGCUUCAUGUGGCUUCUCCAUGCAGCUAAGCUGAACUUCUUCACAAGAUGAUGAUCUUAAACUGGCACAUUUUCUUCCAUGAUGGCUGACUUCAAAAGAGAAGAUGAACUUCACUGCUAAUCUUGGUGGGAGAAAGAUGGUGCUCCUACCUGCAAUCAAAUUUUUGUGUGAUAUCUGGCAGCAUGCUACAACCAAUUCCAAUUCUGGACAACCAAUUCUAAUUCUGGACAACAAAUUCCAGAAUCCAGGGAGGUAACUGCUUGGACCAGUGUCCCGUUGGCAAUCCCAGAGCUAGCUUCUCUCAGGGUGUUUAACCCUGUAACCACACCCAGAGGCACCCCCCCAUUAGGUGAUUGUUGAUUUACUUGGCCUAAAGUGUCAUCAGACCAAAUGUAUCAUUCUAUGCUUGUUUUAUCCAUGUAAUUAACCUUAGCUCCUUGCUUUGUGGCACAAUGACUCACUCACAUGAUUUACUUCAUGCAUUUAAUAGCUGCAUAGUAUUCCGUAGAAGUGCUCUGUAGUCCAUUUAACGAUUCCCUUUUUCGAUUUCAAUAAAUAUUUAGGUUAUUUCCAUUUUUUCCUGUUAUGUAUUAAGACACAUGCCUACACUCCCCCAUAAAUCUUCAAGUAUUUCUAGAAAGAAAUCUAAAGAAAGAUGGAAUUGCUGGAUCAAAGGUUAUAUGACUUUCGAAUUUCAAUAAACAUUACUGAAUUACUACCUAAAUGACAGCAGCAUCUUUGGAGCCAGAUCUGUUUCCAUUUUUGUUGAUUUUGUUCAAUCUAUGGACCACCCUCUAGGAACCUCCUGCCUGUGGGAAGUUUCCAUCCAGGGAGGAUGCCAGUUUGGGGUUUUUUGCCUGGAGCAAGCUUGUUGGUUCCUCAGCAUUAUUUGAGUUGAAUCGUUCAGGAGUAUGAUGCACUCCUUCAGAAUCAGCUGGAUUUCGUCUCUGGAAUAUCACCCACCUGUCAAUCACACCUCACUUUUUCUGGAAGCUCCUCACCACCUCCUUCUCAAUUUGCCUGCCCUUCCCCCAGUCCUGUGCUUAAAACUGAGGGCCAGAGCCUGGGAGAUCCAGUGCCUCAGACCUUUGUGACCCCCGGGGGUUCAGUAAAUGUGUGUCCCUGGGAGACACUGAAAUCUUUUCAUUUGUGAUCUUAUCAAAGCAGAAUGAGGAAAAGGCUCAGUUGAGGGGAGUGAGGAGAGUUGGUCAAAGGACAUGAAAUUUCAGUAUGCUAGGAGGAGUAAGUUUAAGAACACUGUUGUACAGCACGGUGACUACGGUGGGUAAGAAUGUAUUGUGUGCUUGAAAAUCAAGAAAGACUUUGAAUGUUUAAAUGUUCUCACUGAGAAAAGUAUGUGAGAUCACGCAUAUGUUAAUCAGCUCAAUCAAGCUGUUACAACUGUGUACCUAUUUCAAUAAAUAUAUACAAUUUUUGUCAAUUAAAUGAAUUUUUAAAAGAAACAGCUGAAUAUAAAAUAAAAAAAAUCCUAAUCUAAUCUAUUAGCUCAAAAUUUUAAAUCUUACAACAGGAAGUUAUGAGCAAGUACCUUUACAUUUAUAACUAUCACAAAACUUUAUUCCACUCUAGUAAAGUGGUCAUUCAUCUUCCUGCCUCUUCCUGAAGCUGACGAGAGCAGGCCUGCCAUGUCUGCCCUGGUGACUACAGGUAUGGCUCCUGAAAUAGAGCUAAGUGUGGGGUUGCUGCCUCCUGUUUUGUAAGCUACCUUCCUCCUCUGUCCCUCUUUUCCUCCCUCCCUUCUUAACCUCUCUCAUUCUCUCCCUCCCUCUUAUAAGACAUUGCAUAGGAGAGAUGGGGGAAAUACUUAUGAGGCAAGAAAGAAAAGGGAUUUUUGUUUCCUAUUUUUAUUUAGUUUAACCAUUAAAUUUAGGUUUUCAAAGAACCUGGUCAAUACUAUCUGGAGGGUUGAAUGUCACAGAGCUGCAUGCUUCCAUUGCAGAUUGAAAAUAGUGUUAAAAUCUGCAUUCUAUUUGGUGACCAGAAGACCAGAGGCAAUUCUCCCUUCUCCCAUGCUGCUUCCUUCAGAAAGACCUUUCAAGAUGGAUACUAGUGACUUUGCUCAAAAACAUUGUUUUUUCUUUUUUCAUAGAAUUACAGACAUUAUUCCUGACUACUCUUUAAAAUGAUGUAUACCAUAAUAUUUCAUUAAGCUUUUUUGAAGGCACAAGUGGGAAAAAUCCUAGGGUCAGGUGGUCUGAUAAUUCCUGGCUCAGGCACCAGUUGCCUAGCCAUCAACUCACCCCAUAACCACUGGGGUUUGUUUCUGUAGCUGCAAAAUAGGAGCAAGUCUUAAUUCUCAGGGUAAGUAAAAAUUCAGUAAAAUGUGCUGUGAUGGUUAUUUUUGUGUGUCAGUUCUGUGAGCUCUCUUCUUUAUCAUCCAGACCUUAUCCUGUGAAAUGCAGGCACUCAGGCUUUGAAAGAGAAGGGAUGUCCACCAUAAGACAUAGCAUUGCUGCCUUUGUACUAGAAGCUAAGAUGCCAUCCAGCCACUUUGGGUUCCUUCUGCCUCUGAACCAACAGUCAAAUAAAGGAAAUAUGUGCUGGGUGCAGGGAAUGAGUCUAACCAGUAAGAGGAAAUUGGUUUCUACUUCACAAUGGAAGUAAGGAAGAGCUGUCUGGAGCACAGGAGAUCUCUUAGGGUGGCUCUUUGUAUUACUGUGCCCUGUGACUAAGGUCAUUUGAAACCUACAACACAACCCAGACAGGACUGCUGACUGCCUAGACACUUUAGGAAUGAAGUUUUGGAUCACUCUGUCAGGUAAAGAAUUGUGACCAACUGAGUUGUUUUCUGAAGGCAAAGGGACUAUGAAAUGUAUAAUGGAA